UACGUAGGGCGCAAGCGUUGUCCGGAAUUAUUGGGCGUAAAGAGCUCGUAGGCGGUUUGUCGCGUCUGCUGUGAAAACCUAAGGCUCAACCUUGAGCUUGCAGUGGGUACGGGCAGACUAGAGUGUGGUAGGGGAGACUGGAAUUCCUGGUGUAGCGGUGAAAUGCGCAGAUAUCAGGAGGAACACCGAUGGCGAAGGCAGGUCUCUGGGCCGCUACUGACGCUGAGAAGCGAAAGCAUGGGGAGCGAACAGG
rnacentral:rRNA from 1 species